GGAUGUGAAGGUGAUCUAGCCGUGACAUCUCUCACUCCAUUGAUCACCAGGUUUGAUCUGUCAGAUCUGGUCUGCUAGGCGGCUGUGCCCUUCCUCCCUUGCUGCUCUGUGUGUGUCUGUGCUGAAGCUCCAUGCUCAGUCGCUCAGUUGAAGUGGACAACCACCCUCGGUAGAGGAGGACUGUUUCCUCAGUUAGGGUAUAGGAGUAGGCAUACUCCCCUGCUAGAACGUCUGAACAAAGUCUCAAGAAUUGCACCUAAUGCUCUGCUUACAGCAAUAUGGGCCUCCAAAUGCUUCCAAAGCCUGCCAGUUAUCAGCUUCUAACUCUG
rnacentral:snRNA from 1 species